UACGUAGGGCGCAAGCGUUGUCCGGAAUUAUUGGGCGUAAAGAGCUCGUAGGCGGUUUGUCGCGUCUGCUGUGAAAACGCGAGGCUUAACCUCGCGCCUGCAGUGGGUACGGGCAGACUAGAGUGCGGUAGGGGAGACUGGAAUUCCUGGUGUAGCGGUGGAAUGCGCAGAUAUCAGGAGGAACACCGAUGGCGAAGGCGGCUCACUGGACAGGUACUGACACUCAACUACGAAAGCGUGGGGAGCAAACAGG
rnacentral:rRNA from 1 species